rnacentral:lncRNA from 1 species
GCCGCUGCCCCACGCGGAGCGCGACUGCCGUCACCCGACAGGACUUUCUUCUGGUUCACCCCUGCAUACCGAGUGCUGAGAACGGGCAGCGCAUAGGAGGAACGCAGUCCCUACCUGUCACAUAGAUGCAGGUUGUCUUGCCAAAUAGAACUCCACCUGGGCACCCUGAGAGGGGUGGCUCAGGCCGGGGCAGGCCUGCUGGGCCAGGACCAGGAUCACUCACUCCAGGGGAAGCUGGCUGCUGAGUCAUGAAGAGGUCCAUGCAGCCCUCCGGAGAAGCCCAUGGGAGACACUGAGGCCUCCAGCCAACAGCGACCAACCCCUUGCUAGGGGUGAGGAAGACUCUUGGAAGACUGUUCAGCCCCAGAAAGCCUUGAGGUGAUCAUGGCUUAGACCAGCAUCUUAGCUGCAACCUCAUGGGAGACCUAGAGGCAGAGCCAUCCAGCUGGGCCAUUCCCUGGCUCCUGCCCUGCAGAAGCCCUGUGAUACCGUAUAAUUUGAGACAUUACUCAGUUCUAAGCUCAGAGAGGAGACUUCUUUUCAAGGUCAUUGCAUACGGUUGAGCAAGUUGGCCACUGCACAAACAUGCCCAGCAGAGUUGAUUUUCCAGCAAACCUUCAGAGGGAGAAGGAGAAAUUGUCCCUCGGCCCCUACAGUUUUGGCACUGUGAGCAGGAGACUGACACCAUUCUGCUCUCCUGGGAGCUGCAGUGAAGGAAACCCAGGACCUGACAAACUGGCAGAAGGAACAGAAGCCUAUGAUGCAGAUGUGGCCAAUCAGUGCCCUGGGGCUCCAGCAGCAGUGCAGGAAUGCGGAACUGAUCAUAAAGAUCCAACCAGCAUGAAGAAAUUCUGACACUGGAGGAAGGGCUACCGGGAGAAAACAUUUCUCUUUUCCCCAGCCAGCUGUCAGCUAGCCUGAGAGAAUGUGAGGCUGGGGCUACCAUCUUGCCACUAUGAAGAGAGAACCUGCUGAGCAAGGAGGCAACACAGAGCCAGAUAUGGAGAGAAAUAAGCAGUCUUGGAAUGCUGUUUCAUCCUCUGGAUCAAACCAUUCCUGAAGAUGCACUCGAUGGCCACAGGCCAAAGUCAGUGUCUCCUGGAGUGGCAGCUCUGAGACGUGUCCACAUGGGACCACAGUGUAGAGAAGCCACACACCACCAUGGUGCUCCUGAACCAGAAGAGAUCAUGGGCUUCUAUAGAGGGGGGUGAGCCAGGUACAAGGCAGUGGAGUAGGAAAACCUGGGCUGGGGCCAGCCACAGUGACUCACACCUGUAAACCCAGCGCUUUGGGAAACAAAGGUGGAAGGAUCGCUUGAACCC